rnacentral:rRNA from 1 species
UACGAAGGGGGCUAGCGUUGUUCGGAUUUACUGGGCGUAAAGCGCACGUAGGCGGAUUGUUAAGUGAGGGGUGAAAUCCCAGGGCUCAACCCUGGAACUGCCUUUCAUACUGGCAAUCUCGAGUCCGGAAGAGGUGAGUGGAACUCCUAGUGUAGAGGUGGAAUUCGUAGAUAUUAGGAAGAACGCCAGUGGCGAAGGCGGCUCACUGGUCCGGUACUGACGCUGAGGUGCGAAAGCGUGGGGAGCAAACAGG